GAACGCUAGCGGCAGGCUUAACACAUGCAAGUCGAGGGGCAGCGCGAUGUAGCAAUACAUUGGCGGCGAGUGGCGAACGGGUGAGUAAUAUAUCGGAACGUACCUUUCAGUGGGGGAUAACGUAGCGAAAGUUACGCUAAUACCGCAUAUUCUGUGAGCAGGAAAGCAGGGGAUCGCAAGACCUUGCGCUGAUUGAGCGGCCGAUAUCAGAUUAGCUAGUUGGUGAGGUAAAGGCUCACCAAGGCGACGAUCUGUAGCGGGUCUGAGAGGAUGAUCCGCCACACUGGAACUGAGACACGGUCCAGACUCCUACGGGAGGCAGCAGUGGGGAAUUUUGGACAAUGGGCGCAAGCCUGAUCCAGCCAUGCCGCGUGAGUGAAGAAGGCCUUCGGGUUGUAAAGCUCUUUCGGCCGGGAAGAAAUCGCACAGGUUAAUACCCUGUGUGGAUGACGGUACCGGAAUAAGAAGCACCGGCUAACUACGUG
rnacentral:rRNA from 1 species